CCUACGGGUGGCUGCAGUGGGGAAUAUUGGACAAUGGGGAGAACCCUGAUCCAGCCAUGCCGCGUGUGUGAAGAAGGCCCUCGGGUUGUAAAGCACUUUCAGUGAGGAAGAACGCCUGGUGGUUAAUACCCAUCAGGAAAGACAUCACUCACAGAAGAAGCACCGGCUAACUCCGUGCCAGCAGCCGCGGUAAUACGGAGGGUGCGAGCGUUAAUCGGAAUUACUGGGCGUAAAGCGCGCGUAGGUGGCUUGAUAAGCCGGUUGUGAAAGCCCCGGGCUCAACCUGGGAACGGCAUCCGGAACUGUCAAGCUAGAGUGCAGGAGAGGAAGGUAGAAUUCCCGGUGUAGCGGUGAAAUGCGUAGAGAUCGGGAGGAAUACCAGUGGCGAAGGCGGCCUUCUGGACUGACACUGACACUGAGGUGCGAAAGCGUGGGUAGCAAACAGGAUUAGAUACCCCGGUAGUC
rnacentral:rRNA from 1 species